AACCCAUGAUAAGGGCACCUUCUCAGUAAGUCCUUGUAUCUCUCCUAUGCAUCGUAAAGAGUUUCGAAGUCCAUCUGCACAAACAAAGAGAUAUCAUUGCGUAAUUU
rfam:Gossypium hirsutum cultivar TM-1 chromosome 24, whole genome shotgun sequence